UUAAGCGACUAAGCGUACACGGUGGAUGCCCUGGCAGUCAGAGGCGAUGAAGGACGUGCUAAUCUGCGAUAAGCGUCGGUAAGGUGAUAUGAACCGUUAUAACCGGCGAUUUCCGAAUGGGGAAACCCAGUGUGAUUCGUCACACUAUCAUUAACUGAAUCCAUAGGUUAAUGAGGCGAACCGGGGGAACUGAAACAUCUAAGUACCCCGAGGAAAAGAAAUCAACCGAGAUUCCCCCAGUAGCGGCGAGCGAACGGGGAGCAGCCCAGAGCCUGAAUCAGUGUGUGUGUUAGUGGAAGCGUCUGGAAAGGCGUGCGAUACAGGGUGACAGCCCCGUACACAAAAAUGCACAUAUUGUGAGCUCGAUGAGUAGGGCGGGACACGUGGUAUCCUGUCUGAAUAUGGGGGGACCAUCCUCCAAGGCUAAAUACUCCUGACUGACCGAUAGUGAACCAGUACCGUGAGGGAAAGGCGAAAAGAACCCCGGCGAGGGGAGUGAAAAAGAACCUGAAACCGUGUACGUACAAGCAGUGGGAGCACGCUUAGGCGUGUGACUGCGUACCUUUUGUAUAAUGGGUCAGCGACUUAUAUUCUGUAGCAAGGUUAACCGAAUAGGGGAGCCGAAGGGAAACCGAGUCUUAACUGGGCGUUAAGUUGCAGGGUAUAGACCCGAAACCCGGUGAUCUAGCCAUGGGCAGGUUGAAGGUUGGGUAACACUAACUGGAGGACCGAACCGACUAAUGUUGAAAAAUUAGCGGAUGACUUGUGGCUGGGGGUGAAAGGCCAAUCAAACCGGGAGAUAGCUGGUUCUCCCCGAAAGCUAUUUAGGUAGCGCCUCGUGAAUUCAUCUCCGGGGGUAGAGCACUGUUUCGGCAAGGGGGUCAUCCCGACUUACCAACCCGAUGCAAACUGCGAAUACCGGAGAAUGUUAUCACGGGAGACACACGGCGGGUGCUAACGUCCGUCGUGAAGAGGGAAACAACCCAGACCGCCAGCUAAGGUCCCAAAGUCAUGGUUAAGUGGGAAACGAUGUGGGAAGGCCCAGACAGCCAGGAUGUUGGCUUAGAAGCAGCCAUCAUUUAAAGAAAGCGUAAUAGCUCACUGGUCGAGUCGGCCUGCGCGGAAGAUGUAACGGGGCUAAACCAUGCACCGAAGCUGCGGCAGCGACGCUUAUGCGUUGUUGGGUAGGGGAGCGUUCUGUAAGCCUGCGAAGGUGUGCUGUGAGGCAUGCUGGAGGUAUCAGAAGUGCGAAUGCUGACAUAAGUAACGAUAAAGCGGGUGAAAAGCCCGCUCGCCGGAAGACCAAGGGUUCCUGUCCAACGUUAAUCGGGGCAGGGUGAGUCGACCCCUAAGGCGAGGCCGAAAGGCGUAGUCGAUGGGAAACAGGUUAAUAUUCCUGUACUUGGUGUUACUGCGAAGGGGGGACGGAGAAGGCUAUGUUGGCCGGGCGACGGUUGUCCCGGUUUAAGCGUGUAGGCUGGUUUUCCAGGCAAAUCCGGAAAACUAAGGCUGAGGCGUGAUGACGAGGCACUACGGUGCUGAAGCAACAAAUGCCCUGCUUCCAGGAAAAGCCUCUAAGCAUCAGGUAACAUCAAAUCGUACCCCAAACCGACACAGGUGGUCAGGUAGAGAAUACCAAGGCGCUUGAGAGAACUCGGGUGAAGGAACUAGGCAAAAUGGUGCCGUAACUUCGGGAGAAGGCACGCUGAUAUGUAGGUGAAGUCCCUCGCGGAUGGAGCUGAAAUCAGUCGAAGAUACCAGCUGGCUGCAACUGUUUAUUAAAAACACAGCACUGUGCAAACACGAAAGUGGACGUAUACGGUGUGACGCCUGCCCGGUGCCGGAAGGUUAAUUGAUGGGGUCAGCGCAAGCGAAGCUCUUGAUCGAAGCCCCGGUAAACGGCGGCCGUAACUAUAACGGUCCUAAGGUAGCGAAAUUCCUUGUCGGGUAAGUUCCGACCUGCACGAAUGGCGUAAUGAUGGCCAGGCUGUCUCCACCCGAGACUCAGUGAAAUUGAACUCGCUGUGAAGAUGCAGUGUACCCGCGGCAAGACGGAAAGACCCCGUGAACCUUUACUAUAGCUUGACACUGAACAUUGAGCCUUGAUGUGUAGGAUAGGUGGGAGGCUUUGAAGUGUGGACGCCAGUCUGCAUGGAGCCGACCUUGAAAUACCACCCUUUAAUGUUUGAUGUUCUAACGUUGACCCGUGAUCCGGGUUGCGGACAGUGUCUGGUGGGUAGUUUGACUGGGGCGGUCUCCUCCUAAAGAGUAACGGAGGAGCACGAAGGUUGGCUAAUCCUGGUCGGACAUCAGGAGGUUAGUGCAAUGGCAUAAGCCAGCUUGACUGCGAGCGUGACGGCGCGAGCAGGUGCGAAAGCAGGUCAUAGUGAUCCGGUGGUUCUGAAUGGAAGGGCCAUCGCUCAACGGAUAAAAGGUACUCCGGGGAUAACAGGCUGAUACCGCCCAAGAGUUCAUAUCGACGGCGGUGUUUGGCACCUCGAUGUCGGCUCAUCACAUCCUGGGGCUGAAGUAGGUCCCAAGGGUAUGGCUGUUCGCCAUUUAAAGUGGUACGCGAGCUGGGUUUAGAACGUCGUGAGACAGUUCGGUCCCUAUCUGCCGUGGGCGCUGGAGAACUGAGGGGGGCUGCUCCUAGUACGAGAGGACCGGAGUGGACGCAUCACUGGUGUUCGGGUUGUCAUGCCAAUGGCACUGCCCGGUAGCUAAAUGCGGAAGAGAUAAGUGCUGAAAGCAUCUAAGCACGAAACUUGCCCCGAGAUGAGUUCUCCCUGACUCCUUGAGAGUCCUGAAGGAACGUUGAAGACGACGACGUUGAUAGGCCGGGUGUGUAAGCGCAGCGAUGCGUUGAGCUAACCGGUACUAAUGAACCGUGAGGCUUAACCUU
rnacentral:rRNA from 1 species